rnacentral:rRNA from 1 species
CCUACGGGAGUCAGCAGUCGAGAAUCAUUCACAAUGGGGGAAACCCUGAUGGUGCGACGCCGCGUGGGGGAAUGAAGGUCUUCGGAUUGUAAACCCCUGUCAUGUGGGAGCAAAUUAAAAAGAUAGUACCACAAAAGGAAGAGACGGCUAACUCUGUGCCAGCAGCCGCGGUAAUACAGAGGUCUCAAUCGUUUUUUGGAAUCACUGGUCGUAAAGUGUUCUGAGGCUGUUUCGUAAGUCGUGUGUGAAAGGCGCGGGCUCAACCCGCGGACGGCACAUGAUCCUGCGAGACUAGAGUAAUGGAGGGGGAACCGGAAUUCUCGGUGUAGCAGUGAAAUGCGUAGAUAUCGAGAGGAACACUCGUGGCGAAGGCGGGUUCCUGGACAUUAACUGACGCUGAGGCACGAAGGCCAGGGGAGCGAAAGGGAUUAGAUACCCCAGUAGUC